AUACGUAGGGGGCGAGCGUUAUCCGGAAUUAUUGGGCGUAAAGGGUGCGUAGGCGGUUUUUUAAGCGCGGGGUGAAAGGCAAUAGCUUAACUAUUGUUAGCCCUGCGAACUGGGAGACUUGAGUGCAGGAGAGGAGAAGGGAAUUCCUAGUGUAGCGGUGAAAUGCGUAGAGAUUAGGAAGAACACCAGUGGCGAAGGCGCUUCUCUGGACUGUAACUGUCACUGAGGCACGAAAGCGUGGGGAGC
rnacentral:rRNA from 1 species